UGCUCCAUUUCCCACCACAGACAGCUUGAGGGGAGGACCUAGGAGACUACCCUUGACGAAGACAUUCCACUUUUUGUUACUGAGGGGAGGACCUAGACUACCCUUGACGAAGACAUUCCACUUCUCAUCACUGAUCACUGAGGGGAAGACGUAGACCACCUUUGACGAAGACAUUUCACUUUUCAUCACACAGCUGAGAACAGAACAACCGUCCACGAUGCUGCUUUUCGGUUUGUGCUUCGCCCUCUGUCUCCUCACUCCCGCUACAGGGAACCUGGGCGUGAACCUGUGGACCAAUCCUAAGGUGGUGGAGCAGAGUAUCACCAAACAGCUGACCGUAAACUGUAGCGUGGUGCAGACGACCAACUCCUCCAUAGCAAGGGCGAUCACUCUGUUCGUCUACAAGUCCUCCAUGAGGAACCCUAACGUGUACCAGGAUGUGGCUGUCAGAGAUUCCCUG